rnacentral:rRNA from 1 species
CCCUUUGUGAACCAAACUUGUUGCUUCGGGGGCGACCCUGCCGACGACUUCGUCGCCGGGCGCCCCCGGAGGUCUCCUAAACACUGCAUCUUUGCGUCGGAGUUUAAACAAAUUAAACAAAACUUUCAACAACGGAUCUCUUGGUUCUGGCAUCGAUGAAGAACGCAGCGAAAUGCGAUAAGUAAUGUGAAUUGCAGAAUUCAGUGAAUCAUCGAAUCUUUGAACGCACAUUGCGCCCUUUGGUAUUCCGAAGGGCAUGCCUGUUCGAGCGUCAUUUCACCACUCAAGCCUGGCUUGGUAUUGGGCGUCGCGGUGUUCCGCGCGCCUUAAAGUCUUCCGGCUGAGCUGUCCGUCUCUAAGCGUUGUGGAUUUUUCAAUUCGCUUCGGAGUGCGGGUGGCCGCGGCCGUUAAAUCUUUAUUCAAAGGUUGACCUCGGAUCAGGUAGGGAUA